GAAGCCAGAAUCAUAUAAAAGAAGGUUAUAUAUUGUUAACUAGCCGAGCCUCAGAUAUUUCCUACUUGGAACUCGGUGCGGCGUACGCCGUUGGUGAUGCGUGUCCGUGUACGAACUCGUUGCUUGGUUCUCUCGGCCACAAGGAUAUCUUUCGUUCUCUCGUUCUAACUAACUGGGACGGCUCCGGGAGUAGGGGGGAGACGACCGUGGAAACCUUCGUGCAGGGAGGGCGUUGCGACAACAGAAAUGUCUAGGUACGGGCCACCGGUAGUUGUUCUCUUCUGACUCACUCGGUACCUAGACCGGUACCCCCGGUACCCGAGGGAGGAGGUGUUUGACGAGCUCCAGUAGUUCCUGCUCAUGUUGGAUGUCUUCCUUCAAUUCGUUUUCCAGCUCAGGAAGAGACGACUCGACUUUCGAUACGUUCGACGGGAACCGUUCCACCGUCUCCACGGCGCGCUAGUUGAGCUUCUGCUCUGGUUCCAAACCCGACUGCUUCAAUCCCUCGACAGAAUGCUUUACCUCCUACAGUAGCUGAGAGAGGACCACGCACAACACCCGACACUGGGGUUGGGGUCACUACUCGUCUUGUCCGAGCUCUUCGAGACCCAGUCGAAGUUCUUCGACAAGUUUUCCCCGUUCCGUUUUGUAGCCUAAAGGUGUCUAUAACUUCUCUAACUGUUCGUCAACGUUUUUCAGCGGUAGGCUGUGCUUUCCAUACUUUGAGGAUUAGAUGGACGUCGGUGUUCCCGGUGGGAACUAGGAAAGAACCUCCAAGAGAUACCUCUAUUCUUCUUAUAGUAGCCGGAUCUCCUUCGUUCCUUGCUAUAAUAGUUCUUCUAGUGACUCCCACUGACAUUCGUUGAGUUCUGUGAGAGAUAACAACCUAAACCUCCUAACCCGUUCUGAUGCGAACGGUUUCUUCACAUACUACGGGAACGUUGUUUUAAACCUGUGUUUCGAAAACACAGACACAGAGCCUUAGGGCUGUACUUCUUUCAUAAUUCGCUAGAGGAGAAAUUUGAACUGUUCUUUUAUGUACGAUCAGUAUUACGUCUUUUAAACCGUCAUCUCUUCGAGUAGUAGGAUUAAUUUCUUAAAGAAUCGUUGUUUUCCAUGAAAUAUUAAGAGCUACUAAAUACCCUAUUUUUUCGUACCUUUCUUUAGUCAAUACGUGAAUGGCUGCUAUUCACACCUUCAUAUUAUUAGUGAUGUUGGGCGGUACAACUCUAGAGAUUCCUUACAACGAGAAGAUUUCUACCAUACUAAGUAUUCUACUUUAGAGAGAGACUACUACUGAGCGUUUUUGAAAAGAUACCUUCUUAUAAAGAUUCACUCCACACAGGAAGAGCCAAACUCGUUCAUAGGUUUCUCUAAGAACUUUUUUACACGUCCCCAUGGUAAUCGGCAGUAAUCACACCGAUCAAUAAACCGAUUGUUAGUCUUGUCUCUGGUUUAACUAGUUACCCUUCGAAACGAGUGAAGAUAACCGGGACCUGAAUUUUUACCACUACUAGUACACCUGCUCUACUUCUCCUAUAAUAAUAACUCGAUAAUACUAGAGGGAAGGAUAAACUUUUGUACGAAAAAUAUAGAUUCAUAGAAAGGACUUCUAGUAGUUUAAUCGUCUCUGGCCAACUGUUCCUCUACCUAAACACUUCCAAAAUAGGUUCAUUUUCCAGUUUGGUCGGGUGAACGUCUUUUAGUUGGAUCAGAGGAACUCGAUCCUCUACGGAUGAAGUUGCUCAAUCAUUUGUCCUUGUACUAGUACGGCUAUUUGUAUGUAUCACCAUCCCAACCUCGAACAACACAUGUACUAUAUUACGACCUAGAAUAUACACUUAAUAGUUCGCUUCUUUUGAAACAAUGACAUAACCUGAAAUAGUUCCCUCUGUGUGGAAACCUUUUCUUCAAGGCGUCCAACAGGGAGGUUUUCCCGUACUGUCUAGGGUGGUGAUGAGCCUACCGAUGGUGUUCGUACAGUGUUCACUCCAGAAAAUGGCGAAAAUCAGGGAGACAGUCAUUCUAAGGGAGAUAAAGAUCUAAAGUUCAAAACGCACAUAACCUAGACCUCCCAACACUAGAAGUUUUUUAGGGACCGUAACUGGAAUCAGUACAACUCUUCAACAAUGUAGACUCCAUAGACCCCAAUUCCCCGUGUUUCCAACCGUUCGAGGGAUACCUUUAUCCUUUCGAUGCCAAAAACGUCUGUGAUCUGAAUGUUAACUGGUUAAGUUUUCUUAACGGCAGGUCACAACAAGUCGACUCCGUAAACUACACGGAUUAGGAACUAAAACUAUACGGUGAUGGUUUUCCCAAGUCGUUGUACUGUACGGAACUUGUCGACUACCCCGUGUUAUACCCGAAACAAAGACUUCUUUGACGUUUUCUCGACCCGGUAGACUCGUCCAAUUCUCUCGAGCGGAAAUCUAAACUAAGUCUAUAACCGCUCCCUCAACUACUACUACUUCUAUGAUUUCGUGACUAACCUAGGGAUCGGUUCGAUAUGUUUGAGCUCUCGGACCUCUAGAGGAGAGGAUUCAUAACCAAACUGUUACAGGAAUACCUAACCCACGGCAGUGUUUUGGAUGUUUCCGAAUCUAACAUGCCUUUUAAGUCCUCCAACGGAUGUACCUAAACAAGAAGCAGAGAUGGAGAUGAGAGGAUGGAACUAGAUUUACGGUACCUUCACGCUAAGUCUCUAUAGGUCUAGGAACCCUACGACGGCCGAGAGGCAAUACAGUGAGAGUAAAGACACGAGUCGUUUCCGUCUUUGAAUCACCUCUUCAACCACGAAUCAAAACCACGGAAGGGGUCACGCUUUCACACGGAAAAGGUGUUUGAAUAUGACCACGUGGGAUGGAAGGUUGGUCCUCGGUACGGUUACCAAGUUGCGGAAGCGAAGCCAGAGGCUCACUUACUGUAGUAGUCAGGGCUGAAGUUAAACUCGUAUGUCUUGGAAGGAAGCGAUGUCGUUGAGUCUUAACUGGAAGAGCUAAUACUUUAGUUUGUACUCCUAAUAAGAGUUCGGUACCUGCACGACUCCACACACCGUCUUCCGGUAGGGUUCUUAGGGUGGGAAGCACGACUAUUUAAGUAAACUACUACCUCUCCGGCUCAGUUCGGUUCGGCUCGCUACUUGUUUUAGGACACAGGAGUUCGAUCGUCCUCCACUAAAGGAGCCGCCGUAGUUGAGAUAGUACGUUUAGAGGUAGAAGGCUCGGGGCCAACGUUCGAAAGCUAGAAGGCGUAGAAGUUAAGUACAUGGGAGGCAUAGUAGCUCCACUUGAAUUAAGACACACGAAAACUGACAUGACAAAUAAACUACUUGGUUGAACAAACAAGUCACACAUUAUUCCGAUCAAACCAUCCCACGGUCCAAAAAACAGGGAAUCCAAUACAAGGGUCGCUUACAUUGAUCUCCCAAAAGGACCACACGCAAAUUGAGUCGCUUGGAUAAAGGUAAAGAUAACAACACACCUUAUGACAGAUGUAAGAACAUUCUAUUUUAAACCACUAUAAGAUAAGACAAGAACGAAAGGUACCAAGUCCUUGGUAAUGUAAAGAUUCCAGGAGUCAAAAUGAAGGACUUUCGAUCGAUCGAACUACUUGAUAGAUAAAAGUGAAAGGAAGGUUUAUUCAUCGAGUACUACAUGAAGGAGGCAACGAUUUAUAAACAGAAAGAUUUGUAAAGUUUAUCUGAUAGUGUAUGCCUAUAUACAUCUGUAUAAAAUCUCACAUCUAAGUGAGUAAAACGAGGCAUACAUCAGUACGUGAUUAUUCUGAGGUUUAGGAACCAAACUCGUAGGGAAAGAAAACAUUGGAGAGAAUCCUUGAAGUUUGCCUUGUUCCGAUCCACGGGGAACGCCCUUUGAUAUAAGUUCUUGAUUAGGUAAGCUGGGCUGCUCCUAGCUUCGGUGAGCAACUUUAUAGAUUUUUCUGUUUAUAAAUCCUUGCCUCUCUUAUGAUGCAUCAAGUGAAGAAACACUACACUACAUGUGAUGAUGGCCGAACAAACGGCCGACGGAGACGACGGCAGUACCGACGUAAGUUUGAGGAAAAACAGAAAGAGUUUUAGUCAUUCACUUCGGGAUCAGUCAAACAAAUAAACCUACGGAUAAAUAAAAGAAGCAAGGGUUACUACUAGACGAUAAUGGAAACAUGUCUUAAUCACAGGGUGACCUCUGUCCCGUCGAUGCAUAAAAACCACAAGCAUAUUACAUCAUUUUGUAUAACUCAAGUGUAAUACUAGAGUUCGUCCG
rnacentral:rRNA from 1 species